CCGAUAGUAUGGUGAGAUUGCAUGAUAGCACCAUUAAAGAUUCAUCGGUAAACGAUGGGGAUGCGUUCCAUUAGGUAGUAGGCGGGGUAACGGCCCACCUAGCCUGCGAUGGAUAGGGGUUCUGAGAGGAAGGUCCCCCACAUUGGAACUGAGACACGGUCCAAACUCCUACGGGAGGCAGCAGUGAGGAAUAUUGGUCAAUGGGCGAGAGCCUGAACCAGCCAAGUAGCGUGAAGGAUGAAGGUCCUACGGAUUGUAAACUUCUUUUAUAAGGGAAUAAAACGCUCCACGUGUGGAGCCUUGUAUGUACCUUAUGAAUAAGCAUCGGCUAACUCCGUGCCAGCAGCCGCGGUAAUACGGAGGAUGCGAGCGUUAUCCGGAUUUAUUGGGUUUAAAGGGAGCGCAGACGGGAUGUUAAGUCAGUUGUGAAAGUUUGCGGCUCAACCGUAAAAUUGCAGUUGAUACUGGCGUUCUUGAGUGCAGUUGAGGUGUGCGGAAUUCGUGGUGUAGCGGUGAAAUGCUUAGAUAUCACGAAGAACUCCGAUUGCGAAGGCAGCUCACUAA
rnacentral:rRNA from 1 species